rnacentral:rRNA from 1 species
GACGAACGCUGGCGGCGUGCUUAACACAUGCAAGUCGAACGGAAAGGCCCUGCUUUUGUGGGGUGCUCGAGUGGCGAACGGGUGAGUAACACGUGAGUAACCUGCCCUUGACUUUGGGAUAACUUCAGGAAACUGGGGCUAAUACCGGAUAGGAGCUCCUGCUGCAUGGUGGGGGUUGGAAAGUUUCGGCGGUUGGGGAUGGACUCGCGGCUUAUCCGCUUGUUUGUGGGGUAGUGGCUUACCAAGGCUUUGACGGGUAGCCGGCCUGAGCGGGUGACCGGCCACAUUGGGACUGAGAUACGGCCCAGACUCCAACGGGAGGCAGCAGUGGGGAAUAUUGCACAAUGGGCGGAAGCCUGAUGCAGCAACGCCGCGUGCGGGAUGACGGCCUUCGGGUUGUAAACCGCUUUCGCCUGUGACGAAGCGUGAGUGACGGUAAUGGGUAAAGAAGCACCGGCUAACUACGUG